rnacentral:rRNA from 1 species
GACGAAUGCUGGCUGCGUGCUUAACACAUGCAAGUCGAACGGUGAAGGAGGGCUUGCCCUCCGGAUCAGUGGCGAACGGGUGAGUAACACGUGGGCAACCUGCCCCUCACUCUGGGAUAACGCCGGGAAACCGGCGCUAAUACCGGAUACGACCAGGCGCGACAUCUCGCCUGGUGGAAAGAAUUUCGGUGAGGGAUGGGCCCGCGGCCUAUCAGCUAGUUGGUGGGGUAACGGCCCACCAAGGCGACGACGGGUAGCCGGCCUGAGAGGGCUACCGGCCACACUGGGACUGAGACACGGCCCAGACUCCUACGGGAGGCAGCAGUGGGGAAUAUUGCGCAAUGGGCGAAAGCCUGACGCAGCGACGCAGCGUGAGGGACGAAGGCCUUCGGGUUGUAAACCUCUUUCAGCGGGGACGAAGCGAAAGUGACGGUACCCGCAGAAGAAGCACCGGCUAACUACGUGCCAGCCGCCGCUGUAACAC